rnacentral:rRNA from 1 species
CCUACGGGAGGCAGCAGUAGGGAAUCUUUCACAAUGGGCGAAAGCCUGAUGGAGCAACGCCGCGUGCAGGAUGAAGGCCUUCGGGUUGUAAACUGCUGUUAUAAGCGAGAAAAAUGAUGGUAACUUAUGAAUAAGGCUCGGCUAACUACGUGCCAGCAGCCGCGGUCAUACGUAGGAUCCGAGCAUUAUCCGGAGUGACUGGGUGUAAAGAGUUGCGUAGGUGGCAUAGUAAGUAGCUAGUGAAAUCUGGUGGUUCAACCAUUGAGACUAUUAGCUAAACUGCUAGGCUCGAGAGCGUUAGGGGUAACCGGAAUUUCUAGUGUAGGAGUGAAAUCCGUAGAUAUUAGAAGGAACACCGAUAGCGUAGGCAGGUUACUGGGACGGAUCUGACACUAAGGCACGAAAGCGUAGGGAGCAAACGGGAUUAGAUACCCUUGUAGUC